GUUCAAGUCCCUCUAUCCCC
rnacentral:tRNA from 2 species